GCGUGGGUGAAGAAGGUCUUCGGAUUGUAAAGCCCUUUCGGCGGGGACGAUGGUGACGGUACCCGCAGAAGAAGCCCCGGCCAACUUCGUGCCAGCAGCCGCGGUAAUACGAAGGGGGCUAGCGUUGCUCGGAAUGACUGGGCGUAAAGGGCGCGUAGGCGGAUCCCGCCGUCGGGCGUGAAAUCCCCGGGCUCAACCCGGGGCGGUCGCCCGAGACUCGGGGUCUGGAGUGGGGGAGAGGGUCGCGGAAUUCCCAGUGUAGAGGUGAAAUUCGU
rnacentral:rRNA from 1 species